GAAAGAUGCCUGAAAAAGGGUUAUUUUGAUGUGAUAAAUUAUGUUUAAAUGCUCUUUCUAG
rnacentral:tRNA from 1 species